rnacentral:rRNA from 1 species
CAGUAGCCGCGGUAAUACGGAGGGUGCAAGCGUUACUCGGAAUCACUGGGCGUAAAGGACGCGUAGGCGGAUUAUCAAGUCUCUUGUGAAAUCUAACGGCUUAACCGUUAAACUGCUUGGGAAACUGAUAAUCUAGAGUAAGGGAGAGGCAGAUGGAAUUCUUGGUGUAGGGGUAAAAUCCGUAGAUAUCAAGAAGAAUACCUAUUGCGAAGGCGAUCUGCUGGAACUUAACUGACGCUAGUGCGUGAAAGCGUGGGGAGCAAACAGGAUUAGAUACCCCCGUAGUCCCUGUCUCUUAUAC